rnacentral:misc_RNA from 1 species
GGUCCAUGAGUUUUGAUAUUAUUAAUUACUUAAGUCUCUGUAUUUUUAUUUUAAAAAAUAGAUCAAGUCUUUUCUAUUCUAACUAAUGGUUAAAUGUAUUUGAAGUGUAUGGAUGGACUAAAGUAAUAUAGAGAUUAAAGAGUUAAUAAUGUCAAANNNCCCUGAUAAGGCCACAAGAUUUUAUUUAGGUAAUAAGGAUCACACUAUUCCGAUGAGAUUCUUAUUCCUUAGAAAAAAGGUCAGGACUCCCCAAAAUA